rnacentral:lncRNA from 1 species
UCUUCCCUGUGCAGACAUCCACUUCUUCUCUCCCUGAUCCAAAUCACGAAAUAGUGUUGACGGUUCCCCUGCGCUCCUCCCCUCGGCUUCUAGCGGCGCGCAGCAGCCCCGGCCGGUGUUCUGGCGAUCCCGAAGCCCCAUGCCCAGGUACGAAGCCCCCCUUUCCCCAGUGAUCCUUCCCCAUGGCGGCUAGCCCCUGCUAGGAAGCCGGCGCAGGAUCCAUGUAGGGCAGCCCUUCUCUUGCCGUGUGUGGCCCUGCCUCUGGCCCUGCAGCCGCGACAUGCUAGCACGAGACCCAGGGAAAGCGUGCCGAUCAGAACCGCCCAUACACUGUCGUUCACGCCGUGCCGCGCUAUGCCUGCUGUCGCGUCGUCCGCUAUUGUCGAAGUCGCAUCGUGCCGCGCUGCUCCUGCUGUUGCGUCGUCCGCUGUUGUCGAAGACGCGUCAUGUCGCGCUGCUCCAGCUAUCGUGUCGUCUGCCGCCGUUGAAGUCGCGUCGUCACGUCGAGGUGAGCGUCACUCCUCUCCCUCCCGUGCAAGAUCGUGUGGAGCAGGCAGCCAUUGGAGCGGCUCCUAUGGUGCAGCCCCAUGCGGCUAGCCCGAGCUCGCCCCCUACACGGCCGCUGCCCGUGGUAGUCCGGUGGUCGGCCGCUUGGCCACCUCCACUCCCCUGCUCACGCCAAGCGCGUCCCCUACCCCUGGUCGCCCCUAACCCCAUGCUAGCGGAGGUGCUGCUCGCCGGCCGAGCAGCCGUGGCCCCCUGAGCUCCCCUGCGCGCGAAUCUCCAGCUCAUCUCCCAGCGUGCAGCCAUGGCGGGUGUGGCCGAGGUCCCCUGCGCAUGGCCAGCGCCCAGCUUGCCCCUCCCCCUGCGUGUCCCGGUGCAGCCGAUGGCCAGCGACCGGCGCGGUGACCUGCUCUGUCCUCGGCUCCCUUCCAACCUGGCCAGCUUCCCCCGGCGGCCUAGCCAAGCCCCUGCCCCUCACGGUGGCUUCCUGAGUCCUAGGAAGAAGGAGAGAAAUCUGUCAUUGUGAGUGCAUCUGGAAAAAAAGGGAAACUACCCACGGUCCCACCUGCAUGUCGUUCUUUCCGUGAACGUGAUACUCUUGCCAUGCGUUUGGAGAAAGCAUUUGGCCCCAUGUGCAUGCACGAUCCCCUACAUGCAGCUAAUAGAAAUUUAACCUCACACCAUCCCUUUGAUCUUCUGUGCCCAAGAUCCUGUGGUCACCCGUGUGGCCAAGCGCAGACCAAUCAGAUUAUGACACAUCUCCUUUAAACCGUGAUAUACUAAACACACGAUAUCUCUUGUGUUAUAGGUCCGAUACACUCUAUUCAAGUUGCGUUAGAUUUAUAUUAAUGUUGUCUAUGCGUUAAAAAUAAUGUUCCAUCAUUUCAUAUGUUUCGAAUAAUCUAUUAAAUAUUUGUUUUAAAAUUAGUUUUCCAAUUGAAACUAAUUUAUAAUUCUUUUACCCGAGAUUUUAUAAAUAAAUACUAAGUUGAUUAAUACCAACCAAAAUAUUUAGAAUUAAUACUUGGCUAGUAUAAACGUGAUAUCUGUUAGUGAUUCUCGCUUGUCGCGUGUUGGGGGCCUUCGGCUUCCGAAGGUCCUCAAAAACAUGAUUUAACAAUGUUUCUGGAGUACAAUGUGUGAACAGAUAUCUUCGGACCCAAGUUAAAACCACAAUGUGAAGAAGCACAGAAGGGGUACGAAGGAUGGCGCGGAGCCGAAGCUGUGUGUAGAAGAGCUUCGGCAUGAUAAGCGGAAAGGGAAACCGACUUAAAGAUGAAAAGGCUAUUUAAACCUCGAUGAAUUAUUAUAGAGUUAUUAGCAGAUGUAAAGGGCAUUGGUGUAAUUUUACAUGGGUUGCGUCUCACGCAUAUAAAUAGAUGAACAGUAACCCUGUACUGUUCAUGCUGACUUGGCAUUUGCUUUUGCGUCACGCU